rnacentral:lncRNA from 1 species
GAAACCACAUAAUUAUUAGGAACCAACAACGGUGCUCUUGAUUCUCACUGAAAAAUUACUUUAAGUCACAUGGGAAAUUUUUCUAAGAGCUUAAAAUCAGAGCCCUGCCCAGUCAACAACACUGUGAAUGUGUCCUGGCUAGGCUACAAAGGUAUUCAGAAAAUCUUGAAUUAGGACAGCAAAAAUGAAACAUAAGCAGUGUCAAAUCAAUACUGUGGAAGAUGGUGUGAGAAAAAGAACACAUGUAUAUGUAUGUAUGACUGGGUUACUAUGCUGUACCACAGAAAUUGACACAACACUAUAAAUCAACUAUACUCUAAUAAGGAAUUUUUAAUAAAAAAAAUUAAAAGCACUGAGAGUACCAAAAAACCCUACUGUGGGCAUUUUUAAAGUUAUUUGGCUUAAGUCGUCAUAUAAUCAGAAAUAAAGUAUCACUGCUGCUUUCAAAGGGACAGAGAGCAGAGUAAAGAUUUGCUCAGAGACAUAUAAGCACUUAAAAGUAAACAGGCACGGAUUGUGAGAUUACAUAUUCUAAGUAGGAAUCAGCUGCAGGCACUUCUGAAUCAUUUGUGUUUCUGAUCUUUUAGGAAUCAGCCUGUAGGCAAAGCAUAUGUUGAGGCUGCUGGUAGUGCCUAGAUGAGGGUGCAUGUACACGUGGGAGGGGUCUGAGCACCUCUCUGGAUGCCAACAACACCCCCCUCCCCGCCCCCAAGAGAAAGGAUGGUUAUCUUGGAGAAGAUAUUUGAUGUUGGUGUUGAAGAAAGUUCAGCAAUGGCUUGGCUAUGAAAUGAGAUGAAGAGUUCUGGAAGCCUGUGUAGAAAGGCUCAUAGAAGAAAGCAGGUGAGACUUUACUAAAAUACAUAAGGAGUAAUAUUUUUUUUUUCAAAAAGGGUAGUUCUGUAUAAUGUAAUUUUAGGGGGAGUCUGGGUGAAGGGUAUGUGGAACCUCUCUGUACUAUGUAGAUACUUGUGAGUCAAUAAUUAUUUCAAAAUAAAAAGUUAAAGCAAAUUUUAAAAGAUAAAACA